rnacentral:rRNA from 1 species
CAAAGAGAAGCAAGACCGUGAGGUGGAGCAAAACUCAAAAACUUAGUCUCAGUUCGGAUUGUAGGCUGAAACUCGCCUACAUGAAGCUGGAGUUGCUAGUAAUCGCGAAUCAGCAUGUCGCGGUGAAUACGUUCCCGGGCCUUGUACACACCGCCCGUCACACCAUGAGAGUUGGCAAUACCCAACGUACGUGAUCUAACCCGCAAGGGAGGAAGCGUCCUAAGGUAGGGUCAGCGAUUGGGGUGAAGUCGUAACAAGGUACC